UGCUUGGAUAACUGUUAAAUGUAACAGGUUUCCUUGAUAGCAACUGGACUACGCAGCCAUGUCCUGAUGAGCCAGGUCACUUCUGCAGCUAUCCUAACGAGUUUUACAAGGAGCAGAUAUUCACAGAGAAGAUAAUAUUGAAGAUGAUGCACACAGUUGAC